AAUGGUAGAGCUGGGUCUUGAAGUAACACUAUUUUCAAUGUCUGAGAAAGCAUCAGAUUGAUUUCUAAAGUGGUUGUAUAAGUUUGCACUCCCACCAGCAAU
rnacentral:pre_miRNA from 1 species